rnacentral:rRNA from 1 species
AGUGAACGCUGGCGGCAGGCCUAACACAUGCAAGUCGAACGGCAGCACGGGAUUAGCUCGCUCUGCCGGGGGGCAACGGGCGGGCGAUUCAUCGGUACAUGCCCAUCAGCUUGGUAGAGGGCGACGACGGACGGAAACAUACCGCAAUCCACCAGACGGCGAACGCGGGGGACCAAAAGAUCUUCCGCCCUUGCACCGUUCGAUGUCGCGAUGUCGGAUUAGCUAGUUGGCGGGGUAAAGGCUCACCAAGGCGACGAUCCGUAGCUGGUCUGAGAGGAUGAUCAGCCACACUGGGACUGAGACACGGUCCAGACUCCUACGGGAGGCAGCAGUGGGGAAUUUUGGACAAUGGGGGCAAGCCUGAUCCAGCCAUGCCGCGUGCGGGAAGAAGGCCUUCGGGUUGUAAAGCCCUUUUGUUGGGAAAGAAAACCAGUAGGUUAAUACCCCGGUGGGAUGACGGUACCGAAAGAAUAAGCACCGGCUAACUUCGUG